AGGCAGCGAGCAACAAGCACAUCCAAUGGCUGCUGGGAGCGGAUGGCGAGGUCUGGGUGUGGGUCAUGGGAGAAGGCCCUGGAGACAAGCCCUACGAAGAGAUAUCUGAGGAACUGAUUGCAGAGAGGGCUCGGCUGCAAGCACAGAAAGAGGCCGAAGAGCUCUGGAGACAGAAGGAAGCAGAGAUCACCAAAAAGUUCCGGGAU
rnacentral:lncRNA from 1 species